rnacentral:rRNA from 1 species
AAUACCGUAUAACGUAUUUUUACCGCAUGAUAGAGAUACCAAAACUGAGGUGCCGAAGGAUGGGCUCGCGUCUGAUUAGAUAGUUGGUGGGGUAACGGCCUACCAAGUCGACGAUCAGUAGCCGGACUGAGAGGUUGAACGGCCACAUUGGGACUGAGACACGGCCCAGACUCCUACGGGAGGCAGCAGUGGGGAAUAUUGCACAAUGGGGGAAACCCUGAUGCAGCAACGCCGCGUGAAGGAAGACGGUUUUCGGAUUGUAAACUUCUGUUCUUAGUGAAGAUAAUGACGGUAGCUAAGGAGCAAGCCACGGCUAACUACGUGCCAGCAGCCGCGGUAAUACGUAGGUGGCAAGCGUUGUCCGGAAUUACUGGGUGUAAAGGGAGCGUAGGCGGGAAGCCAAGUCAGCUGUGAAAACUACGGGCUUAACCUGUAGACUGCAGUUGAAACUGGUUUUCUUGAGUGAAGUAGAGGUUGGCGGAAUUCCGAGUGUAGCGGUGAAAUGCGUAGAUAUUCGGAGGAACACCGGUGGCGAAGGCGGCCAACUGGGCUUUAACUGACGCUGAGGCUCGAAAGUGUGGGGAGCAAACAGGAUUAGAUACCCUGGUAGUCCACACUGUAAACGAUGAUAACUAGGUGUGGGGGGUCUGACCCCUUCCGUGCCGCAGCUAACGCAAUAAGUUAUCCACCUGGGGAGUACGACCGCAAGGUUGCAACUCAAAGGAAUUGACGGA